UCGAGAAUAUUCGACAAUGGGCGAAAGCCUGAUCGAGCGACGCCGCGUGCAGGAUGACGGCCUUCGGGUUGUAAACUGCGGUAGUAAGGGAGGAAAUUAUUGACAGUACCUUACGGAAAGAGGUGGGUAACUACGUGCCAGCACCAGCGGUAAUACGUAGACCUCAAGCGUUAUCCGGAUUUAUUGGGCGUAAAGAGUGUGUAGGAGGUUUCGUGCGUCUUUGGUUAAAGCCCACCGCCCAACGGUGGAAGUGCCAGAGAUACGACGAGACUAGAGGAGGUCAGAGGUAAGCGGAACGCACGGUGUAGGGGUGAAAUCCGUUGAUAUCGUGCGGAACACCAAAGGCGAAGGCAGCUUACUGGGACCUUUCCUGACUCUGAGACACGAAAGCGUGGGGAGCAAAAAGG
rnacentral:rRNA from 1 species